rnacentral:rRNA from 1 species
GGAGGGCGCAAGCGUUGUUCGGAAUCACUGGGCGUAAAGCGCGUGUAGGCGGCUUGGUAAGUCGGGUGUGAAAUCCCGGGGCUCAACCCCGGAACUGCACUCGAAACUGCCUCGCUCGAGUCCCGGAGAGGGUGGUGGAAUUCCGAGUGUAGAGGUGAAAUUCGCAGAUAUUCGGAGGAACACCGGCGGCGAAGGCGACCACCUGGACGGUGACUGACGCUGAGACGCGAAAGCGUGGGGAGCAGACAGGAUUAGAUACCCUGGUAGUCCACGCCGUAAACUUUGGGUGCUAGGCGUCGCGGGUUUUUGACCCCCCCCGCGGUGCCGCAGUUAACGCAUUAAGCACCCCGCCUGGGGAGUACGGUCGCAAGGCUA